GACGAACGCUGGCGGCGUGCUUAACACAUGCAAGUCGAACGAAGCUUGAUUACGGAUUCUUCGGAUGAAGUAUGAUAUGACUGAGUGGCGGACGGGUGAGUAACGCGUGAGUAACCUGCCCUUCAGAGGGGGAUAGCGUUUGGAAACGAACGGUAAUACCGUAUAAUGUAUUUUGACCGCAUGAUCGAAAUACCAAAGAUUUAUCGCUGAAGGAUGGACUCGCGUCUGAUUAGGUAGUUGGUGGGGUAACGGCCUACCAAGCCGACGAUCAGUAGCCGGACUGAGAGGUUGAUCGGCCACAUUGGGACUGAGACACGGCCCAGACUCCUACGGGAGGCAGCAGUGGGGAAUAUUGCACAAUGGGCGCAAGCCUGAUGCAGCAACGCCGCGUGAAGGAAGACGGUUUUCGGAUUGUAAACUUCUGUUCUUAGUGAAGAAUAAUGACGGUAGCUAAGGAGCAAGCCACGGCUAACUACGUG
rnacentral:rRNA from 1 species